rnacentral:lncRNA from 10 species
AGAGUUUUGGCCUCAGCCGUUUGACUCUAAUCAGGAAAUCAUUUUUAGAAAGAUUUGUCAGUGUAAGAAAACAAGCUCCUGAACUAAAUUAGGAUCUGGAUUAUUUUUCCCUCCUCUCUCGAUCUGCAGUGCAAGGCAGAGUGGUGAGCCAUCACGGUUUUGUGUGUGGUGAAUUUGUUUCCACUGCACAUUUUAAUUCGGAGCUCCUGAAGGUGUCUGUGUUUGUAAGGACUGUGUUUUUGGAGCUGCUCCCUCGGAGUAAUGAAUUCACGGCAUGUCUCUGGGAAAUUAAGGUUUCUUUUCUGGGAGCUGCUAUCACUGAAUACAUAAAGAAAUUGAGCCUAUAUGAUUUCAAUCUUCACCUUCUGAUGCUGAUGAAACAGGAUUCUAUGCAGAGAAAAUCCUCUCCAGUCAAGUAAUUGCAUCCAUUUCAUCUUCCCAGCCCUCCUCUAGAUGGGAGGUGGAGGUGUGUGUACCAAUCUCUUAAUUCAGAAAUGAGACAAGAGGAGGAAAAAGGAGUUCCGGAGGUGUGUGAUCCAAGUCUGGCUGCAGGCUAUGGACAUUCCAGGAGGGAGACUCCAUCAGAGAAGUGGAGCUGGAGUUGGGUGUUAGAGGGCUAAGUGUGACAGUUAAUUUAUGUGUCAUCCUGGCUAGGCUAUGGUGCUCAGUUGUUUGGUGAAACAUCAGCCUAGAUGUUGCUUCAAAGGUAUUUAUUAAAUGUGUAAUUUAAAUCAUAGACUUUGAGUAAAGCUGAUCACCUUACGUAAUGUGAGUGGGUCUCGUCCAAUCAACUGAAGGCUUUAAGAGCAAAGACAAAGGUUUUUCAAAGAGAAAAAGAAGACUCUCCUCAAGACUGUGACAUAGAAACUCUGCCUGAAUUUCUAGCCUGCUGCCCUGCAGAAUUUAGAGUCAAGCCUACAACAUAACUCUUACCUGAAUUCUCAGGCUGCUGACUUACCCUGCAGAUUUUGGACUUGCCAGCCCCUCACAAUCCCAUGAGCCAAUUCCUUAAAAUAAAUCUCUCUUUUUCCCUCUGUAUAUAUUUAUGUCCUAUUGAUUUUGGUUCUCUGGAGAGCCCUGACUACUACACUGAGUGAAGGGAGGGCUUUGCUAAGUGAUCAUGGUCCCAAGGGCAGCCUCUGAGAGCCCGCUCCUUUUGCAGGAUAUUUGAAGACCAGACCUUGAGUCAAAUUCUGCAGCCAAAUUCAAUGCCCAUAAGACUUUCUGCUCAGAAGACGUCAUGCAAAGGGAAUCCCCAGGGCUCUUUAAAUUAGAUCUUCUGUUUGUGCAGACACGUGAUAAAUGUUUUGGGUACAGCCUGGCUCACACCACAUUUUCCACUUUUUGGGUGGAGUCAGUUUUAAUUGACAAGAAGUGCCUUUACAGGUGGACUUUUUUUUUGGUGGUGGAGGGGAGUAGUUAAAACCGAUGCUUUGCAUUCUGUUGGGCAGCAGAAAGAUUGCUUUUUCAAUAAGCAAGCCUUGGGUUUUUCUGAGCCAGUGGUAUGAGAAAUGCCUCUCCUGAAGGCCACCACGCAAGCGAGUCCCCACAGAAGCAUGCCCGAGCUGUCAGGUGCAGGGAGAAAUAUCUUUAGUAAGAGCCGGUCAUGUAAUGAGACUUCCCCACCACAGCAUAGAUGGGCAGAGGGGUUUCCACAAGGACAAUUCUUAAGAAUCUCUGUAAAAACGCAUGACUCCAUCUGUCUCCUCUCUCUUCUUUGGCUUCAGAUGAGCUGAGCCAUUUAAAAAUUCCCCAACAAGGGACCCCAGGCACCAGAAGAAGUGAUGAACAGAUUUUCAAUUUGGCCCUGAUUUGCAUAAAUUUUUUUUUUCUGGCAG